UAUACUAUGAUAUUAACCUUGCAUAUUGGUAAUGAUAGAUAAUAUAGAUAACUCUGUGGUUCAUGCGUGUAUUUGCGAUUACAUAUGUAGACUCAUGUAUCGCCGUUAAAAUCUGGCGGCGAACCUUUUUCAGCUUUGCGCGAUCAUUUUAAAAAUCAUUUUGAGUAAAAACGAUCGAUUUAUCAUUACGUCAGAUUAGUUUGAGCUUCGAUGCAGAGUUUCACAUUGAAAAACUGAAUGUGCUCUUCUUAACUAAUUUGGAAUCUCCCUGAAUGUGAAUUUGACCUAUCUAGGAUGGCGGGAGUAUUCGAUAUUGAGUUGCAUGAUGGGGAUGCUGCAAAUCAGGACGAGUCAGAUGACGAUGUGAUUGAUAAUAGAGAAGAGGAAUAUAAUCAUGCCGCAACCGUAAGCGCUAUAUUAGAAUCUGACAACUUGGAGAGAGUUCAAUUGUCUGAGCAAAAUGUCAAUCCUGGUCAAGAGAAGGCUGGUCCACAAGAUUUUGAAUUGUGUAAGAUUUUAGGAGAGGGUGGCUAUGGAAAGGUCUUCCAGGUAAGAAAAGUCACUGGAAAGGAUAAAGGCAGUAUCUUUGCUAUGAAAGUACUACGCAAGGCAUCUAUUAUACGAAAUCAGAAAGAUACUGCACAUACCAAGGCUGAGAGGAAUAUCUUGGAGGCUGUAAAACAUCCAUUUAUCGUAAAUCUCAUGUAUGCCUUCCAAACUGGUGGUAAAUUAUAUCUUAUCUUGGAGUAUCUAUGUGGUGGAGAGCUUUUUACGUAUCUUGAUCGUGAAGGUAUCUUCUUAGAGGAUACAGCUUGCUUUUAUCUAUCUGAAAUUAUCCUGGCCCUGCAACAUCUUCACAAUCAGGGAAUAAUAUAUAGGGACUUGAAGCCAGAGAACAUUUUGCUGGAUGCCGAGGGCCAUGUUAAGUUAACAGAUUUUGGCCUUUGCAAAGAACACAUACAAGAAGGCACAGUGACACAUACAUUCUGUGGAACAAUAGAAUACAUGGCUCCAGAGAUUCUAACUAGAAGCGGUCAUGGUAAAGCUGUAGAUUGGUGGAGUUUAGGCGCUUUGAUGUUCGACAUGCUUACAGGAAUGCCACCGUUCACCGGAGACGAUCGAAGAAAAACUAUCGAAAAAAUCUUACGUGGAAAGCUGAGUCUUCCACAAUAUCUGACGCCAGAUGCCCGAGAUCUCAUUCGAAAACUCUUAAAGAGACAAGUUGUUCAAAGAUUGGGUUCAGGUCCAGAGGAUGCUGAACAAAUUAAAAACCACAAUUUUUUCAAGCACAUAAAUUGGCAGGAUGUGAUUGCUCGGAAGUUGGAUCCACCAUUCAAGCCGUCCCUAAAGAGUGCUGACGAUACGUCUCAAUUUGACGAGCAAUUUACGGCGACUGUGCCGGUCGAUUCACCGGUUGAGAGUACUCUCAGUGAAUCUGCAAACAUGAUAUUUCAGGGUUUCACGUACGUAGCGCCGAGUGUCCUGGAGGAAAUGUAUGCACAGCCAAAAGUUGUCAAUGCUAGAAGCCCGCGUAGAGGACUAUUAAACAAUACGGGUUUUGGUGCGGCAGCGAGUCUACAUGGUUUCUCCUCGCCUAGAACGAUGGAUGUUCAUUUGCGUCCAUCGUUAGACCUCCAACAACAACACAGGCAACAUAUGAUGGGACCUAAUACCAUAGAAGAUACCGAAAUGGUUGAUCUCGGCCAAUUAUCGAACCGUUUAUAGUGCUGCGACCCAUUGCACGCAAACUAUUAGUUUUUUAAUGCAAAUUAGGGGACGAAAGGAAUAUAGCUCAUAAAUCUGUUUGUAUCGUUUAUUCUCACAUUCAUGUGUGACGACAAACAGAGUUAUAUUUAGCAAAUUUAAUAUAUUAUGUAUAGCAAAAAGUUAUAAGCACAGUGAGUUUGUGUGAUCAGUCUUAUCUGAUAUAUCGCGAUAUUGCCUGCGCCUGUGUGUGCAACUUUUCUUAAGCGAUUCUUCAGCGAUUUCAAAAGACGGCCAAACGUUUCUUCGCAAUGCAAGGGAGCGAAUAGUGUAUGUCUUUUUGCUAUGUAAAUACGUGCGGAUAAUUGACAGCAGUGCUUUAGAAGAUUGCAACACCAGUUUAUUUCAAAUAAAACACUGUGUACUUCAAGUGAAUAUGUGUGAAUUGGAAUAAUUUUCUAAACUGUCGGAGAAUUUCAUUUUCCAUGCAAUGGAUAUACAAAUGUUGUAUACAUAUGUAUGUAAGAGACACACAUUCUAUUUUAAUGCCGAUUCUUUAAGAAUAAUUCUACAUUCCGGAUGUUAUUCUGGAUAUUACGAUGAUUCGCACUUGUAGAAUGUUCCAUUUUAAAGGAUCCACUCAAAUAUCUCAGAAACACUGCAUUAAAUUGAAAAAUAUUUCAGAUAAAAGUUUUGUAAGUUUUCAAAAAGGACAUAAGAUGAUAUCAUUGGUUUGACCUUGGGUGGCGUUGUCAAAGUCACGGUAGGUGUCAUUUUUUGAAUUUUUUAAAUUCAAUUAUUCGCCACCCA